UACGUAGGGUGCGAGCGUUAAUCGGAAUUACUGGGCGUAAAGCGUGCGCAGGCGGUUUUGUAAGCCGGAUGUGAAAUCCCCGGGCUCAACCUGGGAAUGGCAUUUGGGACUGCAAGGCUGGAGUGUGGCAGAGGAGACUGGAAUUCCUGGUGUAGCAGUGAAAUGCGUAGAUAUCAGGAGGAAUACCGAUGGCGAAGGCAGGUCUCUGGGCUGACACUGACGCUCAUGCACGAAAGCGUGGGGAGCAAACAGG
rnacentral:rRNA from 1 species